rnacentral:rRNA from 1 species
UACAGAGGGUGCGAGCGUUGUUCGGAAUUAUUGGGCGUAAAGCGCUUGUAGGCGGCUUGGUAAGUUCCGUGUGAAAUCCCCAGGCUUAACCUGGGAAGUGCGCGGAAAACUGGCGAGCUUGAGUGCCGGAGAGGGUCGCGGAAUUCCUGGUGUAGCGGUGAAAUGCGCAGAUAUCAGGAGGAACACCGGUGGCGAAGGCGGUUCUCUGGGCCUGUACUGACGCUGAGGAACGAAAGCGUGGGGAGCGAACAGG